rnacentral:lncRNA from 1 species
CGCGACCUCGCGGACAGAAGAAGAAGAGAGAGAGAAAAAAAGAUUCCCCCGACUUCGCUCUCCGGAAUCCUCCGCCCGCCGCCGCCGCAGUUUAUGGAUUUCGGAAGGAACGCUGCAGCCCGGACUUGUGAAGCGAAGAGCAGCGUCUCCCCCCGCCCCUCCGGUCUGCCCUUCUCACCGGCCCCCUCCACGCCGUGGUUCCGUGAGCUGUGGGUCAACGCCCCCAAAUAACACCCUUUUGCAGAGGUACGUACGUGCGCCUACCGGUCUAUCUGAAUAGUGAGUAUAUAGACCAUGGGGAAAGCUUUAAGCUGUGGGCGGCUGGAGCUUGCGUGGUGGAUUGCCUGUGCUAUCAAUCUGUGCAAAUUUCUAUUGGAUCGCUGUUAAACUUGCGAGGGCUUGGUAUUUGGGGGAAGGCAAAGAGGGUUGGACUGCCGCAAAAGUGGAUUCGGUAAAAAUAAGUGCACAGUAGCUUCUUAUUUGUCUCGGGCGCUACUCGUAGUGAAUAUUGUGAAAGAGGAUAGCUCUAAAUUGAUGAAGAACGACUUGGAAGGUGUCAUAAAGAGUACGGGUCCAUUCACGAAUCAUUGUUUCAUUUAUGACUUGAUGAUUGUUUCCAGCAAUUGUUAAUCAAUAAAGUGGUGGAAACAAUCAUUAGUAGCAACUGUGACAAAGAAAAUAACCUCAAGACUAAUUUUAAACAGGACACUGGUUUGUAUUGUGCAGUGUGACAGUUUGUGCCUUAAACAGUUACUACAAGCAAACGUGCAUAAUCAUAGGUCUAUUUGGAACUUAUAAAAUCACAGGGCUUACUGUCAGACAUUCAAGUCAAAGGUCAUAGGUCUACUAAUGGAAAGACUCAUUGUGAAAGAGGAUAGCUCUAAAUUGAUGAAGAACGACUUGGAAGGCAUCAUAAAGAGUACAGGUCCAUUCACGAAUCAUUUUUUCAUUUAUGACUUGAUGAUUGUUUCCAGCAAUUGUUAAUCAAUAAAGUGGUGGAAACAAUCAUUAGUAACAACUGUGACAAAGAAAAUAACCUCAAGGCUUAUUUUAAACAGGACACUGGUUUGUAAUUGUGCAGUUUGACAAUUUGUGCCUUAAACAGUUAGUACAAGCAAACGUGCAUAAUCAUAGGUCUAUUUGGAACUUAUAAAAUCACAGGGCUUACUGUCAGACAUUCAAGUCAAAGGUCCAAUUAUUUGCCUUAAAAA